GACGAACGCUGGCGGCGGGCUUAACACAUGCAAGUCGAACGGAAAGACCCUGCUGUUGUGGGGUUCUCGAGUGGCGAACGGGUGAGUAACACGUGAGUAGCCUGCCCUUGACUUUGGGAUAACUUCAGGUAACUGGGGCUAAUACCGGAUAGGAGCUCCUGCUGCAUGGUGGGGGUUGGAAAGUUUCGGCGUGUGGGGAUGUACUCGCGGCUUAUCAGCUUUUUGGUGGGGUAGUGGCUUACCAAGGCUUUGACGGGUAGCCGUCCUGAGAGGGUGACCGGCCACAUUGCGACUGAGAUACGGACCAGACUGCUAUGGGAGGCAGUAGUGGGGAAUAUUGCACAAUGGGCGGAAGCCUGAUGCAGAAACGCCGCGUGCGGGAUGAAGGCCUUCGGGUUGUAAACCGAUUUCGCCUGUGACGAAGCGUGAGUGACGGUAAUGGGUAAAGAAGCACCGGCUAACUACGUG
rnacentral:rRNA from 1 species